rnacentral:rRNA from 1 species
GUCCACGCUGUAAACGAUGAUCACUGGGUGUAGCGGGUAAUCAUUCCUGCUGUGCCGUAGCUAACGCGAUAAGUGAUCCGCCUGGGGAUUACGGUGGCAACACUAAAACUCAAAGGAAUUGACGGGGGCCCCGCACAAGCGGUGGAGUAUGUGGUUUAAUUCGACGCAACGCGAAGAACCUUACCUGGGCUUGACAUCCCCGGACAACCCUGGAAACAGGGCCUUCCCCUUCGGGGGACCGGGAGACAGGUGCUGCAUGGCUGUCGU